GACGAACGCUGGCGGCGUGCUUAACACAUGCAAGUCGAACGGAAAGGCCCUGCUUUUGUGUGGUGCUCGAGUGGCGAACGGGUGAGUAACACGUGAGUAACCUGCCCUUGACUUUGGGAUAACUUCAGGAAACUGGGGCUAAUACCGGAUAGGAGCUCCUGCUGCAUGGUGGGGGUUGGAAAGUUUCGGCGGUUGGGGAUGGACUCGCGGCUUAUCAGCUUGUUGGUGGGGUAGUGGCUUACCAAGGCUUUGACGGGUAGCCGGCCUGAGAGGGUGACCGGCCACAUUGGGACUGAGAUACGGCCCAGACUCCUACGGGAGGCAGCAGUGGGGAAUAUUGCACAAUGGGCGGAAGCCUGAUGCAGCAACGCCGCGUGCGGGAUGACGGCCUUCGGGUUGUAAACCGCCUUCGCCUGUGACGAAGCGUGAGUGACGGUAAUGGGUAAAGAAGCACCGGCUAACUACGUG
rnacentral:rRNA from 1 species